GAUGAACGCUGGCGGCGUGCCUAACACAUGCAAGUCGAACGAAGAAGCUGUAGCAAUACGGUCUUCUUAGUGGCGGACGGGUGAGUAACACGUAGGUGACCUGCCCCGAAGUGUGGAAUAACAGUUCGAAAGGACUGCUAAUACCGCAUGUGGUCGAUGAGGCUAGAGACUUGUCGACUAAAGCAGUAAUGUGCUUCGGGAGGGGCCUGCGCCCCAUCAGCUAGUUGGUAGGGUAAUGGCCUACCAAGGCUACAACGGGUAGGGGGCCUGAGAGGGUGACCCCCCACAUUGGCACUGACACACGGGCCAAACUCCUACGGGAGGCAGCAGUGAGGAAUAUUGCUCAAUGGGCGAAAGCCUGAAGCAGCAACGCCGCGUGCGCGAUGAAGGCCUUCGGGUCGUAAAGCGCUUUUGAGAGGGACGAGAUAGGACG
rnacentral:rRNA from 1 species